rnacentral:rRNA from 1 species
GGCGGUGUGCCUAACACAUGCAAGUCGAGAAUUGUGUAACAGGUAUAAGUGGGUGUCGAUGUGAAUGACUCGUUGCCUUCUACGAGUAAUCGAACAGAAAUUGUUUUAUUUCUUGCGGGCAAACUACUGGAAACGGUAGUUAAUACAACGCAUGACGACACAAAUUAACAAGGUGCCAUUCUUUUUUUUUUCUCAUCCUUAGAUUUGUCCCGAUCUUGGGAUUAGCUAGUAGGUGGGGUAACCGCCUCACGCUAGGCGACGAUCGGUAGCUGGUCUGAGAAGGUAACCAGCCACACUGGAACUGAGACACGGCCCAGACUCCUACGGGAGGCAGCAGUGGGGAAUAUUGCACAAUGGGCGCAACUCUGAUGCAGCGACGCCGCGU